AUUGAACGCUGGCGGCAGGCUUAACGCAUGCAAGUCGAGCGGAGAUGAGGUGCUUGCACCUUAUCUUAGCGGCGGACGGGUGAGUAAUGCUUAGGAAUCUGCCUAUUAGUGGGGGACAACAUUCCGAAAGGAAUGCUAAUACCGCAUACGUCCUACGGGAGAAAGCAGGGGAUCUUCGGACCUUGCGCUAAUAGAUGAGCCUAAGUCGGAUUAGCUAGUUGGUGGGGUAAAGGCCUACCAAGGCGACGAUCUGUAGCGGGUCUGAGAGGAUGAUCCGCCACACUGGGACUGAGACACGGCCCAGACUCCUACGGGAGGCAGCAGUGGGGAAUAUUGGACAAUGGGGGGAACCCUGAUCCAGCCAUGCCGCGUGUGUGAAGAAGGCCUUAUGGUUGCAAAGCACUUUAAGCGAGGAGGAGGCUACUGAGACUAAUACUCUUGGAUAGUGGACGUUACUCGCAGAAUAAGCACCGGCUAACUCUGUGCCAGCCGCCGCGGUAAUAC
rnacentral:rRNA from 1 species